CGGGCCGUGGCCUAGUGGUUUAGGGCGCUACUGCGGGGUAGUAGAGAUCAGCGGUUCGAAUCCGCUCGGCCCGA
rnacentral:tRNA from 1 species